GGAUGCUUCGCCCCACUCUCCAUCAUUCACCCCUUAGAUAUGCUGCCAUUUUUUUAUUGAAUGAAACAUCAUAAAGUGGCACUAGAAAUAUGUACAGGUACAGACAUACAAUAAACAGCCACAUAUGUUUUAUAUAACCAGUUCUUUACAGCUGCAUAACGAUGCCAACAGCAAGGUGGACGUUAGCAACACCAGAAGCGAUAAGCUGAUGUGAAGCACUGGUGCGCACGAGGGUGGUAGACCUAGACACUACUACAUAAAUCAACUUCAGUGGAUGGCACCUAACUACAAAUGACAGGCUAACGUGACGGCUGUGUUAUAGAAGUACAUAUGUAAUUUUUAAUAUUAGAUAGCCUGCACUUCAACCAACAUUGACGGUUCACAACCAUGUAAGUCUAUUUGAAAAGUAGAUCUGAAACCAAACCUGGCAUGACCCUGUAGUAGAAUACUUGAUCGCCACGCAGAAUGGUGGAGUUGAUUCCUUUGUAAGCCUGACAUUUAGUGUUUCCAUUUAUUAGGUCAACGCAGCUAAUGCGAGAGUUUUCUUAACGCUAAUGCAAUAAAAUUAUCCCUGUGUGUUCUCGCCGUUGCUGGGUCGAUAUAAAGUGUCAAUCACCUGUGGUACGUACCCGCAUACCAGUGGCACAUACCAGCCUGCAGGUAUGUGUUAUUGUUUGGCGGAAUGUGACCAUGUACGUGAAGAGAUUGUGCCAUUGUCAUGACUAGCGAGACGUAUUCGUCAAACCAUCAUACUAAUUUUGGUUCAUCUUAAGUUUGUAGUGGAGCACGACAGCCUAGUUGCAGGGACAUGACUGGCCCUUCGAGAGUCAAUAAAGCCUAAGCAAUGGAACAUCCCCACGGCCAGCGCACGGAACGGGUUUCCCCUCCUUCAGCGAGGGCACGAAUACUCGUCAAGAAAGGGAAACCGGGACGGAAAAGAAAACCAGCGUGCCGACAAUCGGACGCUCUCUCUGACACCGGCGAAGGUAGAAGGAGGUUGGACCUGUAACCACCUGCGAGCCAAGGACGAUGACAACAAAGGUAGACACUGUGUGCGUCCGUCAAGGACACGGUGCUUUUGAAGAGACACUCGACGUGUCCUUCAUGGACAACAGAGGCGUCCAUCAAAUAUUCUGCACGCGUCCAGCAGCGGGGCUGCCUUCUCCUCCUUCAGCGUCUCGGCGCCUACAACAGGCCGGCACAUCUAGCGUCGGGCGGCUUCCUCGUCCACGUUCUGUACAUAGGUUGUAAAUAUAAACGCUUUGUUUCUU